rnacentral:rRNA from 1 species
GAUGAACGCUGGCGGCGUGCCUAAUACAUGCAAGUCGAGCGAACAGACGAGGAGCUUGCUCCUCUGACGUUAGCGGCGGGCGGGUGAGUAACACGUGGAUAACCUACCUAUAAGACUGGGAUAACUUCGGGAAACCGGAGCUAAUACCGGAUAAUAUAAUGAACCGCAUGGUUCAAUAGUGAAAGACGGUUUUGCUGUCACUUAUAGAUGGAUCCGCGCCGCAUUAGCUAGUUGGUAAGGUAACGGCUUACCAAGGCAACGAUGCGUAGCCGACCUGAGAGGGUGAUCGGCCACACUGGAACUGAGACACGGUCCAGACUCCUACGGGAGGCAGCAGUAGGGAAUCUUCCGCAAUGGGCGAAAGCCUGACGGAGCAACGCCGCGUGAGUGAUGAAGGUCUUCGGAUCGUAAAACUCUGUUAUUAGGGAAGAACAAAUGUGUAAGUAACUAUGCACGUCUUGACGGUACCUAAUCAGAAAGCCACGGCUAACUACGUG